rnacentral:misc_RNA from 1 species
AAGGAAUUAUAAUUUUCUAACAUACCACGAAUAUUUUAUAGAUUUUUAAUCGUAAUCAAGCAAUAGAUAGUUAAGAAAAAGUAAGGUUCGGGUUUACCUAUGCCAAUUCCGACCUUGGAGACACGUCCAGAACGUCUGAAAACGCUGGGGUAGCCUAUAAUUUCGACCCAAUUUUGAAACUUUUUUUAGUUGCCUGUUUGUGCGGCCCGAAAUUGCAGACCCGAGCAAUUGUUGAAUUUCAGCGAAUUGAAAGUACCUAUGCGAAGGCCACAACACGGGGGUUAAUACAUAAUUUUUACGGAAUUUAUCAAGCUCAUUUAGUGUUCAGAAAAACACUUUGAAGUUCAGUGGGACCCACCAAAAAAUAGUGUCGGAAAAGUUCGAAAUGGGUAUUGUCGCGAAGCUCUCGUCGAGGGGAGCACUCUGGUACUCUCGGAUUUUUCGUGGGGUUCACGGUUUACAAAAAAUCUAGUCCAAAAGUCGAAAUAGGCUAAAACUUCUGAAGCUUGAUUCGCACAAAUCGGGAAACCAAACCAUGCAAAAUUGGUAUCUACACGAUGCCCAUGAAGAGAGGAGCAUUUUGAUACCAAAAAUGUCAAAAACGACGAUCGGAGAAGAAAGUUAUGGCAAAGAAAAGGAAAGAAAAUAAAGAAAAUGAAAAGAAAAGAGAGAGGGGGGGCGGAGGGAAGAUGCACGACACAGACAGCUUAAAACUGUCCUUUUUUUUGUUAUUAUUAUUAUUAUUAAAUUCAACUUUCAAAAUACUUAAUAUUAUACUUAAUAUUCAUUUUCAUUUUUGUUUAUUUUAAAAUAAAUUCAAAAGAACUCCAUAAUAUUAAUAGCAUAAUAUUUUCUUUUUAAGUAGAAUUAAGGCAUAGCACACCUUUCCCACAACCAUGUCAGUUCAAAUGAAACUUAUAGUUUCAGCGACUCCUAUCUAACCAUGAUGAGCGAUUUCCUACAAAGGGUGAUAGGGAAUGAUAACUUCUAAUGGUCAAGUUGGAAAAGAAGAUACAAGAAAAAUUUCUAUGGUCAAUCACAGGUAUUACAUAAUGUGAAGGAUAUGCUGGUAAGAACCAAUCGUAAGGUUAGAAUUUCGGAAGUGAUGAAACUAGUAAUCAAGAUAGGAUUAAGGAAUAAAAAAUAGAUUAAAAUUGAUGAUGGGAUGAGCAUCCUUGAAGGAAAAAAGGAAAAAGUAUAAGAAUGAGAGAGGACAAAGAUAAUAGAAAGAGUACAGCAGGGUGAAGGUGGUGAGUUUGGAUUUACCAAUGAUGACGCCCUAGUGCAAGGUUUUAGGAUAUGUGUGCCCGAUGUAGACAACCUCAGGAAUGAAAUCAUGCGAGAGGCACACUACACACUGUACAGUGUCCACCCAGGUUCCACCAAGAUGUACCAUGAUGUGAAAGAUAGC